UUGUAUGAUGAUGAGCAAUAUCAACGAAUUUCUUCAGCUGAAACUCCAUGUGGAACAAAUAACUACAGAGCUUUUUAACCCUGAUU
rnacentral:snoRNA from 1 species